rnacentral:rRNA from 1 species
CACCGCGGUUAUACGAGAGGCUCAAGCUGAUAGACUUCGGCGUAAAGCGUGGUUAAGGAGAACUUACACUAAAGCCGAAUGCCCUCAGAGCUGUUAUACGCUCACGAUGGUUAGAAGCCCAAUUACGAAAGUAGCUUUAAACAACCUGAACCCACGAAAGCUAUGGCA